GCGAGAGAAAGAGAGAGAGAGAUAGAGAGAGGAAGAGAGUGAGAGGAAAGAAAGACUGAAUGUGUCAAAGAAAUGAAGGUCAACUACGGAGUGAGCAGAAAAGCACAAUGCACUGACCUGCAGUCACCAGAAGAUGGCGCCAAAGUCUGAUCUGAUAAAAUGGAAUCUGCUAAGGGCAUGUGGACUCAGGGAAGAUGGAUUCUUCAUUGAAAGAACACAGUGGAUUUUGGUUCAUAUUUCAGAAGAAUAACAAACCGUUUGCAUCAUUUUAAUACUCUAAUACUCCGUUUGAAUAAUUAGAAAUGUCAAAACUCUCACCAGUAAGGCAAAUAGCCAUUGCUAAUGUUGUAGCAGCCGAACAUCUUGCAAUAAAACCAAAAUUACGCUUUCCUCUGCUUGUGCUCACACACCCAAACAAUCAUUUGAAGAACACCAACUGGUCUCCAGACACAAUUUUCAGAAUAUACAAUGUGAAGGAGGCUACAUGGUACAUGUGUAGCAAACCAGCAGUUAUGUGUUUUAAACAGACAUUUGCCAAAUGAAUUAACACAAACUCACGGACUCUCCUUUUCACACACACUCACAGAGUGUGAGAAUGUUGUCUCAAAUAGCUUUAGGUGUGACUCUGUCUCUCCUUAUAUUGCUAACGGUGUGUGGGAACGUGCUGGUGUGUCUGGCUGUCUUUGCCACACGGCGCCUGCGCAGUGUCACCAACUGCUUCAUCGUUUCUCUGGCCGUGACUGAUCUUCUGCUGGGCAUUCUCGUUCUGCCUUUUUCCACCCUCCUGGAGGUCACUGGAGACUGGCCGCUGGGAGCUCACUUCUGCAACAUCUACAUCUCACUGGACGUCAUGCUUAGUACUGCCUCCAUCCUUAACCUGCUGGCCAUUAGCGUGGAUCGCUUCUUUGCGGUAACGGCACCCUUGCGCUACCCAACCCUGUUGCUGCCAUGGCGCGUAGGUGCCUCCUUGGCGACGAUUUGGCUCGUAUCAGUGGGCGUGUCUUUUGUGCCCAUUCACCUGGGAUGGAACACAGUGGACCACACAGUGCAGAAUCACGGCGAGGGUGACCCAGCCCGAGGCUGCCGCUUUGAACUGAAUCCCACCUAUGUGGUAGUGGACGCUUUUGCCACUUUUUACCUCCCCCUGCUGGCCAUGUGCUGGAUGUACCACAGGGUGUUCCGCAUUGCACGUGCGCAGGCCAAACGCAUUGUCUCCACGUAUCGCGGGCCCAACGCUGCCUUGAAUUCUUCAUCAUUACCAGGAGUGACGGCAUUAGCACUGCGCGAACACAAAGCUACAGUGACAUUAGCAGCAGUGCUGGGUGCCUUUGUUAUUUGCUGGUUUCCGUAUUUUACAUUUUUCACCAUUAUGGGGAUACGAGAAGAGACAAAUCUCCCAAGGACAGCUUACUCAGUAGUGCUGUGGCUAGGCUAUACUAACUCUGCUCUGAACCCCCUUCUCUAUGCAGCUCUCAACAGAGACUUCAGGUCAGCUUAUGGCAGGCUGCUGUUUGGAGGGAAAGAGAUUAAAACACCCACAGGAACGCCCCCUGUAGCUGUGGAGGUGGGGCUGAUGGAUGGACACACCCCUGCAUGCAGCAGGGUGGAACUUAUGCCUGAGGGCUGUAUAAUGCUGCAGGACAUGAACACAGGGAGGAGGGAUGGUAGCAAUGGGACAGCUGUUACCAUGGUUACUGUUCUGUCCAAUGGCCAUAACAGUUCAUAAUGUCUAGAAAAAGGCUGGAUGCUGCAACUGUCUCCUUGGAAAAAGCCCCUGACUCGAGUUAGAUCCCAUGUCCUAACAGCAACCCUCCGUAGGAAUGGGUAAUACAGAAAGGGGUUUUCAAAAAUCACCACAAUAUAAGGAGACGUUUUGUCCACUGAGCCAAUGACCACUCAAUAUGGCAAAUCAGCAUCAAGUGGGACGAAUGAUAAAGAGCACUAGAUCCUACCAGACCAAGUGAAGAAAGGCAACUGGAUGACAAAUGAAGGCUACGUGAAAAAAAAACAUCUAAAAAUUAUAUUUGCACUGGCUUCUGCAGGCUAGGCAGUGUUGGAAUUCAUUACUGCCCUCUAGUGGUCACUAGAUGUGCCACAACCAAAAUGUGAAUGUGUAGACUCAACAGGCAUGUACUACAAAAAUGGAAUCAUGCUACUUAGGCAUAGAAUAAGAACACUGGGUGGCUUGUUCUUUUGGACUCUUAAAUGGAAAAUGUCAAUCAUUGUAACGCAAAACAUAUUUAAACAUAAAGUAUGCUGACACUGUAGGAAUUAGGGAUGGCCAAACUGGGUCGAUGCAGACAUUCUUUAGCGGACUGCAUAUCGGUCCUAUUAAGUCUGAUUCACUUAUGAGCCUUUGUUUCUUUUUUUUGUGCCGUUUUAUGCACGGCACUGCUGUUGUAUUAUGGCCACAGUAUAAUAGUUUUAACUAUGCAUAUGUGUGCGCAAGUUGGAUGCCGCACAUAUGUGCUGCAUUCAUUUAAAGCAUAGGUUUUGCACAUUCUCAUAAUGCAAUACCAACAUAAAUGGACAAAGCCACAAUGUGAUGCUAUGCUAUGUGUGAUGUGCUGUCAACAGCACACUGAACAAACUAAGACAACAGUCACUUCUGCUACAUGCUUUUGCAGUGAAGCAUAACAAUAUGGUCUUCUCAGCUGUCACCUGUUGCCAUGCUAAAAACUGAUCUUCCCAUAGCAUUAAUUGGCAACCUAGCACAUCGUUGUCAUCCAAUGAAAGGCAAGUUUCUCCAAAAUAAUCAUUUUAAAGAAGAAGGCAAAAACAUGUUUCCCUUACAGCGUUAAUUUUAUUCCAAGUGA